rnacentral:rRNA from 1 species
AUUUGACUCAACACGGGAAAUCUUACCGGGUCCGGACAUACCGAGGAUUGACAGACUGUUAACUGCAACACAUGCUGCUAAGUUUUAAACUUAAUAGCUCUUUCAUGAUUAUAUGAUAGGUGGUGCAUGGCCGUUCUUAGUUCGUGGAGUGAUCUGUCUGCUUAAUUGCGUUUCAAAAUCUAAACCUGAGCGACAAGGUGCUGCUAUCGAAACUGUCUUUGAGUGUGAACUAUAAGUCUUUUGACUUAUGACCAUCACUCUAGACGUUUAUGUUUUGGUGUUGGCCCUUGAUGCUCAUUUGAACGCAACGGACGUGAUUGCAACCCCUUGUUGAGAUUUAUCCGAUCUCUACGUUCACUGAACCACACUCUUUAGCGAGAGCAGUGGGGAUGUGGAUAAACUCGGGGGACUGCUGACUAUAAACUUUUCUCAAACCAGAGGAAGGUUGCGGCAAUAACAGGUCUGUGAUGCA